rnacentral:rRNA from 1 species
UGGCGAACGGGUGAGUAACACGUGGGGAAUCUGCCUAUAAGUGGGGGAUAACAUUCGGAAACGGAUGCUAAUACCGCAUAUAUUCAAAAACCGCAUGGUUUCUGAAAGAAAGACGGCUUUGCUGUCGCUUAUAGAUGAUCCCGCGGCGUAUUAGUUAGUUGGUGGGGUAAUGGCCUACCAAGACCAUGAUACGUAGCCGACCUGAGAGGGUGAUCGGCCACACUGGGACUGAGACACGGCCCAGACUCCUACGGGAGGCAGCAGUAGGGAACCUUCCACAAUGGGUGCAAACCUGAUGGAGCAAUGCCGCGUGAAUGAAGAAGGUCUUCGGAUCGUAAAGUUCUGUUAUUAGAGAAGAACAAGUCAAGGAGUAACUGUCUUGACUUUGACGGUACCUAACCAGAAAGUCACGGCUAACUACGUGCCAGCAGCCGCGGUAAUACGUAGGCGACAAGCGUUGUCCGGAAUUAUUGGGCGUG